rnacentral:rRNA from 1 species
UAAUGCGCCCUACGGGGGGCAGCAGUGAGGAAUAUUGGUCAAUGGUCGGCAGACUGAACCAGCCAAGUCGCGUGAGGGAAGACGGCCCUACGGGUUGUAAACCUCUUUUGUCGGAGAGUAAAGUGCGCUACGCGUAGCGUAUUGCAAGUAUCCGAAGAAAAAGCAUCGGCUAACUCCGUGCCAGCAGCCGCGGUAAUACGGAGGAUUCAAGCGUUAUCCGGAUUUAUUGGGUUUAAAGGGUGCGUAGGCGGUUUGAUAAGUUAGAGGUGAAAUUUCGGGGCUCAACCCUGAACGUGCCUCUAAUACUGUUGAGCUAGAGAGUAGUUGCGGUAGGCGGAAUGUAUGGUGUAGCGGUGAAAUGCUUAGAGAUCAUACAGAACACCGAUUGCGAAGGCAGCUUACCAAACUAUAUCUGACGUUGAGGCACGAAAGCGUGGGGAGCAAAUAGGAUUAGAUACCCUAGUAGUCCUAUCGCU